UCGGGUAUGGUGUAACGGCUAACAUUGCCGCCUCUCAUCCUGCAGUACGCGGCAGCUCGGGGUUCGAUUCCCCGUACCCGAA
rnacentral:tRNA from 1 species